ensembl:lncRNA
UAAAGAACUAAUCACUAAUCACUUCAAUAUUUUUUGCUACAUCUUUCUUCUUCAACAUGUUUUUAAAUGAUAUAAAGACCAGAACUGUAAUCAGUCAGUCAAUCCCUUCUUUCUCUCUCUGUCUCUCUCUCUCUCACACACACACACAUACAUGCAUGCACACACAGAUACACAAGCACACCCCACGUCAUUCAUUAGUAUGUGGAACCAGCAUAAUUCAUGACAAGGAAUCAGCAUAUACAAUGUCCACCUCACUCUUCUUUUAUGUUGAGGCUAUUCCUUUGCUCAGGUUGAAAACAGACUCAAUUGUGUAAUGGAGUUGUCAGAGAAACUUUAGUUUCUCUAAAGUUUAGUCUGGGAAGGUGGGAUGAGAUGGACAGCUUCUUUCUAAAUUAAGAUCCUCCUCUGCAACUAGCUGUGGUUUUCUCUCUUUGAGACUGAUGCAUAAAGAUACACCAAAAAGAAAUGAAGUAGGACUUUCUUACCUAACUAUACCUGUUGUAAGACAGCAUUGAAUUCUCUGGGCCUGCUGCUGCUGCUGUCUCUUGACCCAAAGGAAAACAUACACAUGUUGCCAUGUCAAACUCUAUAACGGAGGCUGCUCCUUUGGCCGACCCUCUCUCCCGGCCCUACUAUUUUAGGCUGCUUGAGAUGACAGCUCACAUUCUGGUUUCUCUUGACAAGAAGCAAGCAGGCAUUUUAUCAUUGCAGGUCAACCUCAGCAAAUUCCUGGAAUAAACAACAUGCUUUCCUAAAAGCUACUUUGACUCCUGAUGGCAACAAGUGGUGAGCCCAUGAUAUCCUGUAUCUCUUCAUUUAUCAGCUAGGGAGAGAUCAGUUUUCCCAACAUGCAUAAAAGAUUUCCUUAAUACCUUUCCCUGGGGCCACAUGGUGAAAGAAGCAACUCCUAGAAGGGAGAUUAAGGGCAUGGCCCAUUCUACUUCCCUGGAUUCUCAUCAAAGGGCAUAGCAUGUCUACUAAGGAAUCUCCUGGAACCAUGUAACAAGACCAAUUGGCACAGACUCAGUUUUGCCACAUUUUGCCCAUUUCUGAAAAACAAAACAGUGAGCUACAACCUAUGAAUCCAAUUCUCUUAUGUUUACAUAUGAAAGGAAAAAGGGUGAAUUCUUAGAAUUCAAACUUUCCUCCUUAAAAUGCAGUUGGUCUGGGGAGAUUACCUUCUAGGAUUUAGUAUGGUGGAGGAUAAAUGAAAGAUCAUUAGAGGUUAAUUCUGAGACCAAUUUGGCUCUUGUCUCUCUAUAUAUG